GAGGAUAUAGCUCAGUGGUAAAGUACGUGCUUAACACGUACUAGGUCCUGGGUUCAACACCCAGUACCUCU
rnacentral:tRNA from 1 species